rnacentral:rRNA from 1 species
AUACGUAGGGUGCGAGCGUUGUCCGGAAUUACUGGGCGUAAAGAGCUCGUAGGUGGUUUGUCGCGUCGUCUGUGAAAUUCCGGGGCUUAACUCCGGGCGUGCAGGCGAUACGGGCAUAACUUGAGUACUGUAGGGGAGACUGGAAUUCCUGGUGUAGCGGUGAAAUGCGCAGAUAUCAGGAGGAACACCGGUGGCGAAGGCGGGUCUCGGGGCAGGAACUGACGCUGAGGAGCGAAAGCAUGGGUAGCGAACAGGAUUAGAUACCCUGGUAGUCCAUGCCGUAAACGGUGGGCGCUAGGUGUAGGGGUCUUCCACGACUUCUGUGCCGUAGCUAACGCAUUAAGCGCCCCGCCUGGGGAGUACGGCCGCAAGGCUAAAACUCAAAUGAAUUGACGGGG